rnacentral:piRNA from 1 species
UGCCAGAUAUGAGGUACUCAGAUACUCUGC